GCGGCUUUAGCUCACUUGGGAGAGCGCCAGACUGAAGCUUCAACUUCAGGAAUAAUGAAAUCUGGAGGCACUGUGUUCGAUCCACAGAAGCCGCA
rnacentral:tRNA from 1 species